GACGAACGCUGGCGGCGUGCCUAAUACAUGCAAGUCGAACGAGAGCGACCGGUGCUUGCACUGGUCAAUCUAGUGGCGAACGGGUGAGUAACACGUGGGUAACCUGCCCAUCAGAGGGGGAUAACAUUCGGAAACGGAUGCUAAAACCGCAUAGGUCUUCGAACCGCAUGGUUUGAGGAGGAAAAGAGGCGCAAGCUUCUGCUGAUGGAUGGACCCGCGGUGCAUUAGCUAGUUGGUGAGGUAACGGCUCACCAAGGCCGUGAUGCAUAGCCGACCUGAGAGGGUGAUCGGCCACAUUGGGACUGAGACACGGCCCAAACUCCUACGGGAGGCAGCAGUAGGGAAUCUUCCGCAAUGGACGCAAGUCUGACGGAGCAACGCCGCGUGAGUGAAGAAGGUUUUCGGAUCGUAAAACUCUGUUGUUAGAGAAGAACAAGUGCUAGAGUAACUGUUAGCGCC
rnacentral:rRNA from 1 species